GAUGAACGCUGGCGGCGUGCCUAAUACAUGCAAGUCGAGCGAACAGACGAGGAGCUUGCUCCUCUGACGUUAGCGGCGGACGGGUGAGUAACACGUGGAUAACCUACCUAUAAGACUGGGAUAACUUCGGGAAACCGGAGCUAAUACCGGAUAAUAUAUUGAACCGCAUGGUUCAAUAGCGAAAGACGGUUUUGCUGUCACUUAUAGAUGGAUCCGCGCCGCAUUAGCUAGUUGGUAAGGUAACGGGUUACCAAGGCAACGAGGCGUAGCCGACCUGAGAGGAUGAUCGGCCACACUGGCACUGGCACACGGUCCAGACUCCUACGGGAGGCCGCAGUAGGGAAUCUUCCGCAAAGGGCGAAAGCCUGACGGAGCAACGCCGCGUGAGUAAUGAAGGUCUUCGGAUCGUAAAACUCUGUUAUUAGGGAAGAACAAAUGUGUAAGUAACUAUGCACGUCUUGACGGUACCUAAUCAGAAAGCCACGGCUAACUACGUG
rnacentral:rRNA from 1 species